AAUUAUUGAGCCAUUCAAUAAUUAUUAUUUCCAAGUUAUAACUGACUUAGCAAAGUCAUGUUAUUUAUUAAUCGAAAAACAGAAGCAGUUAUAUUUUAUUAGUGCUACUAAAAGUCGAGGAAUUAUUCCGACUGCAACGCAGAUUAAAUCUACGGAUUUAAUUUAAGUUAUAUUACAGUUUAUCAAGUUAGCAGGCAAGGAAAAAGAUAUCAAGCUAGAUGAUUUUUAUUAGUAACUUCAAUACUUUACAAUCAUCAUUAUUCUUUCCACUCCCUAAUGUCUCCUACACUAUCAACAUACCAUAGCAUAAUUUAGACCUCAAGCAUGAAGCAUGUAUAUACGUUGACCACAUGAGUAACAUCAUAAGCCUCUUUCAUACAUAGCAUAAUCAAUCAAGAAGACAACCAAAUCAAUUAGCAAAAGCAAAAGCUCUUCAAUCACCAACUCCACUCCACCAACUCCACUCAAUUAUUCAUUCCCUUUAUACUAUCAGCCACCACCCUUUGCUCCCCACCCAACAAAUGCAAUCAGCCAACAAAUACAGUUUUCACUCUCAACUCAUCUCAUCCAAAAGAGAAUCAAAGAAUAGCCCAGCUCAUUCAGCCGAAGCUCACAAGGUAAGGCUGGGCUUCAAUGAUUUCAUUCCAUUUGAUUAGCACCUGCAUUAACACAAGAAUCAUUCAUUUCCUCUUUGCCAGGAACCUUAAGUUCAGUUACUCCAGUUCAACAAACAACAAUAUUUAACCAACAACACAUUUCAAGGUUGAGCUGUGAUGGGCGAUGAAGUGUUGUUGCUGAGUGGAGUUUUUGUCGAACUUAAAGUAGGCUCAGAAAGGAUACAUGUCUUCAUACAUGUAUCUCAGUUAUGCAUUCCGCUGUAAACACUGAUUAUUUCAGUUACGCCUUCCGUUGCAAACUCUGAUAAUGUUUUAGCGAAGCCCCUAACGAUGCCUUUUUCCUUUUAAGGAAUAUAACGCGUAUACAAGUUCUUUGAGUACCCUUUUUAUGCGAACUAUGCCUUUUUCCUUUUAAGGAAUAUUUCACGCGUAUUCAAGCUCUUUGAGUAUUCUUUUA